GGGUGUGCGGGCAGCCUGGCUGAGACAGUCAUCACACCUUCAAUAGCCAGGCUAGACUGGAGUGGUCUGACUUGCUAGCAGCUGUCCUUCCUUCCCAGCUUCUCCAGGAUUCUCCCAAACUUGUGUCAUUGGCUGAAGCAGAUGGCCUUUCUACAGAGGGCAGCACCAUCCAUCGGCCAAAGGUCUAUGGGUAGCUGCAUUCCCGGUAGAACCUUGAAACAAGCUCAUUCUAUUGAAAGCCACUAGGUAGGAAGUUCCAGGGUCUAACGCCUGGCAGAGGGGAGCUGCCCUUGAUUCCUUGAC
rnacentral:snRNA from 1 species